rnacentral:tmRNA from 1 species
GGGGGCGCCAUGGUUUCGACAGGGUAGCGGUAGGUCGGAACUGCGUGCCGAGGUUGUGUGUUACCUCGUUAAACAACAUGCAAAACAAAGUUAAUUGCCAACAAUAACAAUAACUUCGCAGUUGCAGCCGUCGCGUAAGUGACCCUGUGUGGCCGAGAGGCCGCUGCUGUCCGAACGAACCGUUGCCAGAGGCAUCGUUUGGGCACGUAUUUAUCUGGAUAGUCCUGAAGGAGGAGCGUUAGGCGCUGACCUGGGGACGAUAAAUAACCCUUAAAGUCCUAAACGAGCCCAAUGUUCGUAUUGCCUUCAGGGCGGACUGGGCAUGAAUUCUGAAGGAUACGCACGUAGACGUUUUAGCUGAGUUGCUUUGGACGUGGGUUCGAUUCCCACCGCCUCCACC